rnacentral:rRNA from 1 species
GACGAACCGUGCGAACGUUGCUCGGAAUCACUGGGCUUAAAGGGCGCGUAGGCGGGCCGGCAAGUCAGGGGUGAAAUCCCACGGCUCAACCGUGGAAGUGCCUUUGAUACUGCCGGUCUGGAGGGAGGUAGGGGCGUGCGGAACUUCCGGUGGAGCGGUGAAAUGCGUAGAUAUCGGAAGGAACACCGGUGGCGAAAGCGGCGCGCUGGACCUCUACUGACGCUGAGGCGCGAAAGCCAGGGGAGCAAACGGG